GGCUUUAUAGUAUAAUAAAAUAUAUUAGAUUGCAAAUUUAAAGACGUGUAAUAUUACACUAAAGCUU
rnacentral:tRNA from 1 species